UGUGCAGGGAGCUGGUGCAAAUGCCUCUGU
rnacentral:piRNA from 1 species